rnacentral:tmRNA from 2 species
GGGGGUGAACGGUCUCGACUUUGGAUGUUGAGACAGGGGAAGCGGGCCGAGGAAGCCAGGAUGAUCUCGUUAACCAAUAACCUGUGCAAAAAAUCAAGCGCCAGUACAACUGCCGCUGAUUACGCCCAAGCUGCCUAAGCUGGCUCCGUAAUCCGUUAGCCCAGAUGCGCCUUCGUUCUGGAAUCUAACGCCGCUAGAGGGCUUUUCUUGAUGUUCGCGUUGCGGAGAACAUCGGAGAACUUUUCCGCAAAUGAGUUUGUCGAAUACUUGUGUGUAAGAGAUUCGGAACUGAGAAAACGAUAAUCACACUACGCCCGUAGAAGCCCUGUUUUAGUACCGAAGGACCCGGGUUCGAUUCCCGGCACCUCCACCA